rnacentral:rRNA from 1 species
CUACACCCCUUCCAGAGUAUCAAUUGGAGGGCAAGUCUGGUGCCAGCAGCCGCGGUAAUUCCAGCUCCAAUAGCGUAUAUUAAACUUGUUGCAGUUAAAAAGCUCGUAGUUGAAUUUCUGCUGCUUCGCCUUCGUCCGUUUUUCGGUUUCGUUUGCGUGGUGGCUUUUUCCGGAUUGCUUGCGCUUUCCGGACUUUACUUUGAGAAAAUUAGAGUGCUUCAAGCAGGCUAUUGCCUUGAAUACUUUGCAUGGAAUAAUGAAGUAGGACUUUGGUUCUAUUUUGU